UAUUAUACUAGUAAAUAUAAGUAAGCCUAAAUUAUUAAUAGGUAUGUUCUUUAAACUUGAAGAAUUUGGCGGUGGUUAAUACUUAUUAGAGGAACCUGUUUUUGAAUCGAUACACCACGUGGAAUCUUACUCAUUUUAUUUAGCCUAUAUACCGUCAUUAUCAGAUGAUUUUUAGAGAGCUGUAAUCAUUAAGGUUUAUGAAUAUAGAUAAGAGAAAUUAGAUCAAGGUGUAGCUAAUGAAUGAGUUAAAAUGGGUUACAAUGAAAUUUUAUUCACUACGGAAUAGUUAUGUGAAAUGUGCUAUGAAGGAGGAUUUAAUUGUAAUGAAAGUUUAAUAAGCUUGAAAGAUAUAAGCUCUAAACCAU
rnacentral:rRNA from 1 species